CUUGAAAAAACUGGCAAGACUGCCGAUAAACUUAAUGAGAUGUACAAGAAAUCUAAUGAGACCCUCCAUGUUGUGAUAAAGGA